ACGAACGCUGGCGGCGCGCCUAACACAUGCAAGUCGAACGAGCGAGAGAGAGCUUGCUUUCUCGAGCGAGUGGCGAACGGGUGAGUAACGCGUGAGGAACCUGCCUCAAAGAGGGGGACAACAGUUGGAAACGACUGCUAAUACCGCAUAAGCCCACGGGCCGGCAUCGACCAGAGGGAAAAGGAGCAAUCCGCUUUGAGAUGGCCUCGCGUCCGAUUAGCUAGUUGGUGAGGUAACGGCCCACCAAGGCGACGAUCGGUAGCCGGACUGAGAGGUUGAACGGCCACAUUGGGACUGAGACACGGCCCAGACUCCUACGGGAGGCAGCAGUGGGGAAUAUUGCACAAUGGGGGAAACCCUGAUGCAGCGACGCCGCGUGGAGGAAGAAGGUCUUCGGAUUGUAAACUCCUGUUGUUGGGGAAGAUAAUGACGGUACCCAACAAGGAAGUGACGGCUAACUACGUGCCAGCAGCCGCAGUAA
rnacentral:rRNA from 1 species